GUGGGGAAUAUUGGGCAAUGGGGGAAACCCUGACCCAGCGACGCCGCGUGGGUGAAGAAAUCCUUCGGGAUGUAAAGCCCUGUUGUAUGGGAAGAGCGGAAGACGGUACCAUACGAGGAAGCCCCGGCAAACUACGUGCCAGCAGCCGCGGUAAUACGUAGGGGGCAAGCGUUGUCCGGAAUUACUGGGCGUAAAGCGCACGCAGGCUGAAUUAUAAGUCGGUAGUCAAAGGCGGAGGCUCAACCUCUGUAUAUCUAUCGAUACUGUAAAUCUGGAGUAUGUGAGAGGGAAGCGGAAUGCCCGGUGUAGCGGUGAAAUGCGUAGAUAUCGGGAGGAACACCAGUGGCGAAGGCGGCUUCCUGGCACAAUACUGACGCUCAUGUGCGAAAGCUAGGGCAGCGAACGGGAUUAGAUACCCGGGUAGUCC
rnacentral:rRNA from 1 species